rnacentral:lncRNA from 1 species
UUCCGCAGACAUCUCACUGUUCAUAUCAAAUUUCUUGCUGUAAUUGACUAGAUUACGUAAAAUUGAAAAUUUUAAAUCAUACUAGACACAAUAAAGAUUAAAAACCCUAAUUAUUGAACUCAUUUUGUUCAAAAUAUGCCGUGAAAUAAAUCAAAUGGCGGGAAAAAAAAAAAACCCAAAGUUCUUACCUGUUUUUGCGAACCGAAGCCUUCAAUCUCCAAAAAACUCAGUUUUUCUCAACGAUUAUCACAAAUUAGUAACAAAAGGUUUUGAUUCACAGCUUUAAGAUCAAAAUGCCUACAAAUUUUGAAAGAUUCAUGCCCUAUUUAGCAUGAAAUUUCAGAAAAGGCGGAAACCCUAAACCCCG